UACAGAGGGGGCAAGCGUUAUUCGGAAUUAUUGGGCGUAAAGGGCGCGUAGGCGGCCUUUCAAGUGACGGGUGAAAUCCCUCGGCUUAACCGAGGAACUGCCUGUCAGACUGGAAGGCUUGAGACCGGGAGAGGUGAGUGGAAUUCCCAGUGUAGCGGUGAAAUGCGUAGAUAUUGGGAGGAACACCAGUGGCGAAGGCGGCUACCUGGACCGGUUCUGACGCUGAUGCGCGAAAGCGUGGGUAGCAAACAGG
rnacentral:rRNA from 1 species